rnacentral:rRNA from 1 species
UUCCAGACUCCUACGGGAGGCAGCAGUGGGGGAUAUUGCACAAUGGGGGAAACCCUGAUGCAGCGACGCCGCGUGGGCGAAGAAGUAUUUCGGUAUGUAAAGCCCUAUCAGCAGGGAAGAAGAAAUGACGGUACCUGAGUAAGAAGCACCGGCUAAAUACGUGCCAGCAGCCGCGGUAAUACGUAUGGUGCAAGCGUUAUCCGGAUUUACUGGGUGUAAAGGGAGCGCAGGCGGCACGGCAAGCCUGAUGUGAAAGCCCGCGGCCCAACCGCGGGACUGCAUUGGGAACUACCGGGCUGGAGUGCCGGAGAGGUAGGCGGAAUUCCUGGUGUAGCGGUGAAAUGCGUAGAUAUCAGGAGGAACACCAGUGGCGAAGGCGGCUUGCUGGACGAUGACUGACGUUGAGGCUCGAAAGCGUGGGGAGCAAACAGGAUUAGAUACCCGAGUA